rnacentral:rRNA from 1 species
UACGGGAGGCAGCAGUGGGGAAUAUUGCACAAUGGGGGAAACCCUGAUGCAGCCAUGCCGCGUGUGUGAAGAAGGCCUUCGGGUUGUAAAGCACUUUCAGUAGGGAGGAAGGUAGUGUAGUUAACACCUGCAUUAUUUGACGUUACCUACAGAAGAAGCACCGGCUAACUCCGUGCCAGCAGCCGCGGUAAUACGGAGGGUGCGAGCGUUAAUCGGAAUUACUGGGCGUAAAGCGCAUGCAGGCGGCCUGUUAAGUCAGAUGUGAAAGCCCGGGGCUUAACCUCGGAAUUGCAUUUGAAACUGGCAGGCUAGAGUCUUGUAGAGGGGGUAGAAUUUCAGGUGUAGCGGUGAAAUGCGUAGAGAUCUGAAGGAAUACCAGUGGCGAAGGCGGCCCCCCUGGACAAAGACUGACGCUCAGAUGCGAAAGCGUGGGGAGCAAACAGGAUUAGACACCCUGGUAG